rnacentral:rRNA from 1 species
AGAGUUUGAUCCUGGCUCAGGACGAACGCUGGCGGUGUGCUUCACACAUGCAAGUCGAGCGAAUGAAGUAGGUAGCUUGCUACUUAUGGAUUUAGCGGCGGACGGGUGAGUAAUAUAUAGGAAUCUGCCUUAGAGCGGGGAACAACAGACCGAAAGGUUUGCUAAUGCCCCAUAGGUAUGCAGUCUUCGGAUUGUAUAUUAAAGGAGUAAUCCACUCUAAGAUGAGCCUGUAUCCGAUUAGCUAGUUGGCGGGGUAAAGGCCCACCAAGGCUACGAUCGGUAGUUGGUCUGAGAGGAUGAUCAGCCACAAUGGGACUGAGACACGGCCCAUACUCCUACGGGAGGCAGCAGUGGGGAAUUUUACACAAUGGGGGAAACCCUGAUGUAGCGACACCGCGUGAACGAAGAAGCCUUUUGGGGUGUAAAGUUCUGUCGGCUGGAACGAAAAAAAUGACGGUACCAGCAAAGGAAGCAUCGGCUAACUACGUGCCAGCAGCCGCGGUAAGACGUAGGAUGCAAGCGUUGUCCGGAUUUAUUGGGCGUAAAGAGUUCGUAGGCGGUUAUUUAAGUCUGGUGUUAAAUACUGUGGCCCAACCACAGAACUGCAUUGGAUACUGGAUGACUUGAGUGCGGUAGAGGCAAGUGGAAUUCCCAGUGUAGCGGUGAAAUGCGUAGA